rnacentral:rRNA from 1 species
AUCUGGUCACCUCCCACCCGUGUUUAUUUUACCUUGUUGCUUCGGCGGGCCCGCCUUAACUGGCCGCCGGGGGGCUUACGCCCCCGGGCCCGCGCCCGCCGAAGACACCCUCGAACUCUGUCUGAAGAUUGUAGUCUGAGUGAAAAUAUAAAUUAUUUAAAACUUUCAACAACGGAUCUCUUGGUUCCGGCAUCGAUGAAGAACGCAGCGAAAUGCGAUACGUAAUGUGAAUUGCAAAUUCAGUGAAUCAUCGAGUCUUUGAACGCACAUUGCGCCCCCUGGUAUUCCGGGGGGCAUGCCUGUCCGAGCGUCAUUGCUGCCCUCAAGCACGGCUUGUGUGUUGGGCCCCGUCCUCCGAUCCCGGGGGACGGGCCCGAAAGGCAGCGGCGGCACCGCGUCCGGUCCUCGAGCGUAUGGGGCUUUGUCACCCGCUCUGUAGGCCCGGCCGGCGCUUGCCGAUCAACCCAAAUUUUUAUCCAGGUUGACCUCGGAUCAGGUAGGGAUACCCGCUGAACUUAAGCAUAUCAAUAAGGCGGGAGGA